UGGGGAAUAUUGCACAAUGGGCGCAAGCCUGAUGCAGCCAUGCCGCGUGUAUGAAGAAGGCCUUCGGGUUGUAAAGUACUUUCAGCGGGGAGGAAGGCGAUAAGGUUAAUAACCUUGUCGAUUGACGUUACCCGCAGAAGAAGCACCGGCUAACUCCGUGCCAGCAGCCGCGGUAAUACGGAGGGUGCAAGCGUUAAUCGGAAUUACUGGGCGUAAAGCGCACGCAGGCGGUCUGUCAAGUCGGAUGUGAAAUCCCCGGGCUCAACCUGGGAACUGCAUUCGAAACUGGCAGGCUAGAGGCUUGUAGAGGGGGGUAGAAUUCCAGGUGUAGCGGUGAAAUGCGUAG
rnacentral:rRNA from 1 species